ACAGUUCAAAGAGUGCGUAAUAGCUAACUGGUCGAGUGUUGCGGCGCCGAAGAUUUCAGGGGCUAAACCGUGCUACCGAAGCUACGGCAUCAGUAAUGAUGGGUAGGGGAGCUUCCCAUACGGGUUGAAGCAUGACCGUAAGGACAUGUGGACAGUAUGGGAGUGAGAAUGUUGGCAUGAGUAGCGAGAUGUGGGUGGGAAUCCCACAGGCCGUAAACCCAAGGUUUCCAGGGGAAGGUUCGUCCGCCCUGGGUUAGUCGGGACCUAAGCUGAGGCCGAAAGGCGUAGGUGAUGGACAACAGGUUGAUAUUCCUGUACUACCGAUAACCGUUUGAGAGAAGGGAUGACACAGUAGGAUAAGCUAAGCACACUGUUGGUUAUGUGUGCCCAAGCAUUGAGGCAGUCAAAGUAGGCAAAUCCGCUUUGAUAAUGCUGGGAUGUGAUGGGGAGCGAAAUUUAGUAGCGAAGUAGCUGAUUUCACACUGUCAAGAAAAGUCUCUAUCGAGGUUAAAGGUACCCGUACCGCAAACCGACACAGGUG
rnacentral:rRNA from 1 species